AUGGCAAGCAGCGGCUACAAGCAUCCGAGCGAAGCUCUGGACAGCGAGCACCGAUUUCAUCACCACAACGACAGGCAUCGAUCAACGGAGAUCGACAAUGGUGCUUUGGGGAACUCCUCCAAGGGCAAGGAGGUAGCGGCCGACAAGAAGGGCAAGGCGAUGGUGGAGCUCGGCAGCGCCCCCAAGAGGCCGAAGAACUACGGCCAUCUCCAUGAGGGCGGUAGCACAAGCCACUUUUGCAAGGUCAUCCUUGCACCCAUGCUGGAGUGUCUGUCGAUGCCAGUUGAGUUCACCAAGCGCUUGACCACUGUCCGUGCUGAGGAUGAAAAUCAGCUGCGCCUGGAGGGUGAUGGUUCGAAUGAUCAACAACAGGGCUCACCAAGGGUUGGGCCCCUUCGUCGUUGCUCACCAUAUGGGGAUCGGGUACCUCUUCACCUUUAA
rnacentral:rRNA from 1 species